rnacentral:tRNA from 12 species
GGGUGAUUAGCUCAGUGGUAGAGCGCUUCGUUCACAUCGAAGAUGUCAGAAGUUCGAAUCUUCUAUCACCCACCA